rnacentral:telomerase_RNA from 1 species
CUUCGCGUCGCCUCCCACACAGUUUACCGAAAUCUUUUUCCGCGAGGAAAGUCUAUUGCAGGCCCCCUUCCACGGGUGUAUGAGCUCGGAACUUAACCCUAAGAUAAGAUCUGGUUGUAGUAUUGCGUCAGUUUGACCCGUCUUUUAAGCCUACCGGGGAGUUGAAACCUGUCGACCGCUGAAAAGCGUUCGGCUGGGAAUAAGUCUACGGCGGGUGGACUGAUGGGGAGAACCGUCCAGUCACGGUAUAGUGCCAUACUGUGCAAGAGAUUGGCGCCAUGAGUCAAUUUGAGAAGAGCCUCUGUUCUGAGGACGCUCGUCAGCCCGAUCUACUGGAACAGGUUGGCCAAUAUGGGCAGUUCCAAAGAUGCUGUUGACAAAGAGAGAAAGUGUCAUUUCGAAGACCAGCGGGGAGAGUUGAGCCAAGCAUUGGAUACAUACUAUCAGUCACUGCGUUUCAUUGAAUAUCACAGAUGGAUUGCCUCGCCGGAAUCACUCGCCAAGUACGAGUGUAGCGAGGAUUUCAUGGGCACAAACAGAAACACUUGACUGAUACACUGAUUCACCAAACUUGAUAUGCUCUCGGAUCUCUCGACGUCGCCUAAGUUAUUUCUUGCCGUGUCACUUCUGACCGCGUUGUCAACAAGCACUUGGAACUACAUCUGGGGUAACCCCCAAGAUGUGUGAUGAUCACAUCAAGCCUGGCCACACGCAUUAACUUUCCAUUGCAAGCAUCUGGCACCUGCAAGCAAUAAUGAAAGACCCCAGUCAAUCGUUGUAGUGUCUCUUGACCUUCGACAGUUUCCUCGACAUCCUUCCGAAAGGAAUGAAUCGAGACGAGAGCGCGGUUUUUAUGGAUGUCUUUUGUCCGCGCGUCGAUGCCCUCCUUGCUAGCAUUGACCAUGCAUGAUGGAGAGGAUACAAAAACUAGUCCUUGUUGGCAGCGAAGAACACACAGAAGGAGUUGUUGUUUUAUUGACGGUCGAGUAUCACGUUUGCUGUGUUUCCCCUUGCUCUGGUCACUGAGUCGCAGGAAAGCGUGGAAGCACCUGAGUCAAUGAGUACGACGCGCCCCUGAAUCCUCUCUGUCGGUUUCUACAUUGAACCUUUUCCUGGGACCCAUCCUGAGUUGGAGUCAAAGUUUCGUACUUGUCCGGGGCUGGGGGAAAUGGAGUAUUGGCAUGAAAGGUGAACGGCAAUCGGGUAACGAAUUGGCACUGAAUCGAUUGGUUUUAAGGGCAGGCCUCGAGGGAUAAGGCAGCUCUGGUUGUCCCCGUGCCAGUAAUGGUAGGAGGACAACCCCCCA